AUGAUCUCGAAAACGGCUCAAUGAAAAAAUUGGAAAUUCCCUCACAGGAUUUACAAUGAAAUGUUGGGUAUGAAAAAUUGGUAUGUCCCAGUCACUUGAACUUCCUGUUUUACCGGAAGUAAAUCGAUUUUCAAUCUAACUGACAAACAAAGACGGUGAAGCAUUUAAAUUGGCAAAUGCAAAUAAUUUGAAAAUAAUUGAUUUCUGAGAAAAAUGUUUCACACAAAAGUUUUAUCAUCCUGAAGCGGAAUCUGGAGGCUAUAAUUUUUUUCACAUUGGUGGAGGAAUACCCUUAUUCUUUUUACAGAUUCGUCUUUAAUGUGAAAGAAGUUGUCAUUUUUGUUUUUAGCGGUUUUUUGUUCCGUCCAGUUGUUUACGAGUUAUUGAACAUUCUCAACAUUUACGAAUAUGUCAAUCGUCACAAAUGAAUAUCUUUCGCAUAAACCACUUGGAAAACGUAAUAAAUAUAAUGAUUUCACAACACUCUGUUCAAUCAAUAAUCAGUGUCCCACAUGUUCGGAAUGAUAUCCUUCAAGAUCGAUACACGACUUCGUAGAUCAACAAUUACCACACUUCUUGAAGAUUUACCAUCAGAAAAAAAGAUAAACAUGUUGUUCCAGCAUGAUGGUUAUCCACUGUACACUGCACUAGUACACUGGCCAGCUCCAUUAUCUUACUUGACCACACCAGAGUUUUUGUUGUGAGGAUAUCUCGAAAGAAAAGGUUAUAAAUAACCGUAUCGAGAAGUGUACCGAACUCGAAGGACAUCAUUUCAAACAUGUGUACACUAAUUAUUGCCUGGACAGAGUCGUGUGGACUCAUUCUGUUUAUCAAUUUUUUCAAAUAGUUUGUGCAAGAUAUUUAUUUGAGCCAUAUUGGUAAAUUUUGAGAAUGCUCAAUUACUCACAAACAUUCGAGCAAAAAAUUAAAAUAAAAAUGAUUCCAACAAAAUUGCGUAUUUUCUCAAAUAAAAUACGAAUCUGUGAAAAAAAUAGAGGUACCUAUUUCAAAAAACAAAGUUUACCUUCGUGUGAUUAUGAAGUCCUCUAUUGACUUGGAAAAAAUUAUAGACAUUAGAUCCCAUAUCGAAGAUCAUCAAACUUUGGUUUGGAACAUUUUUCUCGACAAUACUUCAUUUUCAAGAUAUUUGCGUUUACCUCCUUAAAUGCCUCAUCCUUAUACAUACUAUAUAUUUAUAUAUUAGUAUAUACGUUUUUCUCAAUAAACGAUGUUUUUCCUAGUUUACAUAUUUAUUUUGUUACAUCCACCAGACUUUAAGUUCUUCCACACAUUUACAGCUACCUUAUACUCUGCAUCCUCGUCUUGUCAUUACCUUGCUGCCUUGGUUACCAUUCCAUAUCAGCAGAAUGCUCUCUCUACUCCUACACUGCAACUAGCCAGUUUCUUGCAUCCUUCCACCCAUACAUUCACUCUCAAGUCAACUUCGGCGAGGAUCUAAAUUCUGCUCUCCUUUUUCUGCUCCACAUCUUUAUGCACUCGUAAUUUAAGCAACGAUGGUGUCACUGACAGCACGUAAAAUUAGUGUCAGAAGCCGACAUUUAGACGACUAUGAAAAAGUUAAAGGUGGAAAAUGUGAAAAGGAAGUCUGUACCUGCCACUCCGGGCUGCAAACUGUGGCGAUUUCUUGGAGGCCACCGGGAAAUCUUUUCCCUUGAGCCUCUUGCGUCUUCCUGAAGUCUUGCAUGAAGAAGUAAAACGCGUUAUGUUGCUGUUUUUUCGGCAUGGUUGAUCGGGUCACAAGAUUUAUUAUUU